UCGAGCGGCGAACGGGUGAGUAACGCGUGGAUAACCUGCCCAGAGGUGGGGGAUAACCCGGGGAAACUCGGGCUAAUACCGCAUGAUACCGAAAGGUCAAAGGGGGCUCGCAAGGGCUCUCGCCAUAGGAGGGGUCCGCGUCCGAUUAGCUAGUUGGUAGGGUAAUGGCCUACCAAGGCAACGAUCGGUAGCCGGCCUGAGAGGGUGAUCGGCCACACUGGAACUGAGACACGGUCCAG
rnacentral:rRNA from 1 species